UGGGGGUCAGUCACUUUUAACGAAUGACCAAAACGAUCAUGUAAUGUAUGCAAAGUGUUCUGAAAGCUCACGUAAGAAUACAACAAUGACAAAGUUUACCAUAGUGUGUGAGUGAGUGGGAGAGAGAGAGAGAGAGAGAGAGAUUUAGGCCCCUCCAUUUGGCUUGGAGCACAGCAGGCACCGACAAAUAGGACAAGGGACCCUUUUGCAAUGGGAGAAAGCUUUCACGACACCGGAGCACAGUUUUUAGCACAUUAUGCUUCCUAACAUAUCUGCUUAAUUGUGUUGGUUAGUUUAGCAAGAGAGAAGCCAGCAGUGUCAGAGACUUCAUGUCCGUUGACAAAGAUGAUUCCAACAUCUUUGACCCAAUGGAGCAAGAUCCGGACUUUCAGAGUAAGUAACAGAAAAUCCACAAAAUGGAAGCCAAUGAGAUGCCCAGAAGCAAUUGGUGGGCUGCGAUGUGAGGUGGGAUGCUGGACUAGGUGGNCUCCCUCAUGUUCUCAACNAAUGUUAAACUGUCCAUUAACAGCUCUGGAGGACUAAAACACAGAUCUAUCAACAGUUCUUUCCUCAGACAAAAGCACNAGCAGCAGAGAAGAUGAAGAGCUGGGAGUCAGGUGGGACGUCCCCAGAAUCCCGACUCGUGACCCCAUGACCUUAUCACCAGAGAUGAGGACCCAACGAAUCCUUCUGGAGCGGGAUUUAUCCGUGUCCGACCAGCUGAUUGCUCCUCCACCAUCUCUGGAUUUGAUGUUCUCCAGCAACCUCAGAAUGGGCUCUGAAUUUUCCAUCGAGAAGGUUCUGGGAGAAACCACCGCCAGCAUUUUGACACAAGCAGAGGCCGAAGCCUCCCACCUUGCCACCGAGCUAAGGGACACCCUGGAUCAAGACAUUGGCUGGGACGCCGAAACUGGGUUCGACGAACCGCACAGCAUUUUGUCCUGCAGGAUAUGCCAGCUCUUUGUACGAACGGUGGACAGGCUCCUGGACAAAUCGGAACAACUUGCGGAUCACUACCUGCCUCUCACCGAGGAGGAGAUCGGUAAGGAUCCUGGUAUACAGUGCUUGGUUUAGGGUCUUAUAAGUCAGGCACAGAACCUUGAACCUGGCCUGACAGCUAACUAACCGCCAGCGCAAUUGCUUAAGCACAGAUGUGAAGUUUGCACAACUAUGCAACAACCUGGUCCCCACAGUUUAGACU
rnacentral:lncRNA from 1 species